rnacentral:rRNA from 1 species
GACGAACGCUGGCGGCGUGCCUAAUACAUGCAAGUCGAACGAAGCUGUUUUAACUGGUGCUUGCACCGACUUAAACAACUGAGUGGCGAACGGGUGAGUAACACGUGGGUAACCUGCCCCAAAGCGGGGGAUAACAUUUGGAAACAGAUGCUAAUACCGCAUAACCACGGAAACCACAUGGUUUCUGUGUCAAAGAUGGUUUCGGCUAUCACUUUGGGAUGGACCCGCGGCUUAUUAGCUAGUUGGUAAGGUAAUGGCUUACCAAGGCAAUGAGACGUAGCCGAACUGAGAGGUUGAUCGGCCACACUGGGACUGAGACACGGCCCAAACUCCUACGGGAGGCAGCAGUAGGGAAUCUUCCACAAUGGACGAAAGUCUGAUGGAGCAACGCCGCGUGAGUGAAGAAGGUUUUCGGAUCGUAAAGCUCUGUUGUCAGGGAAGAACGUGUGCGAGAGUAACUGUUCGUGCAGUGACGGUAUCUGGCCAGAAAGCCACGGCUAACUACGUGCCAGCCGCCGCGGUAA